AUACGGAGGAUGCGAGCGUUAUCCGGAUUUAUUGGGUUUAAAGGGUGCGUAGGCUGUGCGUUAAGUCAGGGGUGAAAUGCCGUCGCUCAACGACGGAGCUGCCCUUGAUACUGGCGUGCUGGAGUACGGAUGCCGUUGGAGGAAUGAGUGGUGUAGCGGUGAAAUGCUUAGAUAUCACUCAGAACACCGAUUGCGAAGGCAUCUGACGAAUCCGUCACUGACGCUGAGGCACGAAAGCGUGGGGAUAUAACAGGAUUAGAUCCCCUGGUAUUCCACGCCGUAAACGAUGAUGACUAACCGUCGGCGAUAGACAGCCGGUGGCCAAGCGAAAGCGAUAAGUCAUCCACCGGGGGAGUACGUCGGCAACGAUGAAACUCAAAGGAAUUGACGGGG
rnacentral:rRNA from 1 species